GUAGCAAAAUAAUUUGUUUUUUAAUUGAAAACUGGUAUGAACGGUCUAACAAAGGGUUAUAAUAUAUUUAAAGGUAUUUUAAUUUGUAAUUUAUGUAACAAUACUUAAAUGUAUUAAAGGGACGAUAAGACCCUAAAAGCUUGAUUAUUUAAGUGUUAUGAUAUUUUGUUAUAAAUUUAAAAUACUUAAAAUGUUUUAUCUGGGGCAGUGUUAUUUUGUAAACAAAUAAAAUUUUAAACUGGUAGGGGUUAGGUUUCUUAAAAUUGAGAUAGAUUGUAUGAGUUACUUUAGGGAUAACAGCAUCAUAGUAAUAAUGAGACCUUAUUUAUAUUAGUGCUUGUGACCUCGAUGUUGAAUUAAAUGUCUGUGCGGAGUAAAAAUUGCAUAUGAAAGUUUGUUCAACUUUUAAAGUUUU
rnacentral:rRNA from 1 species